CCUACGGGCGGCUGCAGUGGGGAAUAUUGCACAAUGGGCGCAAGCCUGAUGCAGCCAUGCCGCGUGUGUGAAGAAGGCCUUCGGGUUGUAAAGCACCUUCAGCGGGGAGGAAGGCGGUGAGGUUAAUAACCUCAUCGAUUGACGUUACCCGCAGAAGAAGCACCGGCUAACUCCGUGCCAGCAGCUGCGGUAAUACGGAGGGUGCAAGCGUUAAUCGGAAUUACUGGGCGUAAAGCGCACGCAGGCGGUCUGUCAAGUCGGAUGUGAAAUCCCCGGGCUCAACCUGGGAACUGCAUUCGAAACUGGCAGGCUAGAGUCUUGUAGAGGGGGGUAGAAUUCCAGGUGUAGCGGUGAAAUGCGUAGAGAUCUGGAGGAAUACCGGUGGCGAAGGCGGCCCCCUGGACAAAGACUGACGCUCAGGUGCGAAAGCGUGGGGAGCAAACAGGAUUAGAUACCCCUGUAGUC
rnacentral:rRNA from 1 species